CGGCGUAACAUGUCGUUUGUAAAAAAGAAAAAAAAAACGAUACGGAUAGCGCACAGGAUUAUGAGGUGUUCACGAAUAAAUUGUAAAUUUAAAUUCAAGUAGAUUGUUUGAUUUUUCUAUCCAACAACACGGGAGACUGUAUAAUGAGGUUGCUAUCGAUAAAAGUUUCGCGUAGGACGUAUGCACAUACGUUACAUGUGCGUGGAUAUUUUUGUCCAAGGCUCUCGCAACUUGAUGUUGUUUGCAAGAUGUCGAGCGUGUUUGAAAAACGUUUCGCGGCAAGCGGUAACUUUUCCGAAAUCAAAUCGCAAUUUUAUUUCCAGAGAAGUGGCGCGACAAUCACGGGCACGCGUCAUCGCGCAGCCGCGGAAUUUCGAACGCGGCGAAAUCUCCAGAGAAAAGAUGAUCGGAGAUGGCAGGACGGUCUGCAAACACUCUAAGUUUUCUUUACACCUAGACUCCACUCCGGCCUAUUAGGAAAAGAAAAAAUACGGACACUUGAUCAAGAAAGAAUAAAAGUGUAGGACCUACAUGAUACUUGCGAAUCUUAGGCAGCGGCGAGCUAGC